rnacentral:lncRNA from 1 species
CCCAGGCUGGAGUACAGGGGUGCAAUCACAGCUUACUAUAGCCUUGACCUCCUGGGCCCAAGCAAUCCUCCCACUGUGGCCUCCAGAGUAGCUGGGACUACAGGCAAGUGCCACCACACACAGCUAAUUUUUGUUCUUUGUUUUUUGUUUUGUUUUGUUUUGUUUUGUUUUUUGAGAUGGAGCUUUGCUCUUGUUGCCCAGGCUGGAGUGCAGUGGAGCGAUCUCAGCUCACCACAACCUCCGUCUCCCAGGUUCAAGCGAUUCUCCUGCCUCAGCCUCCCGAGUAGGUGGGAUUACAGGCUCACGCCACCAUACCCAGUUAAUUUUUAUUUUUAGUAGAGAUGAGGUAUCUGGAUAACUCCCCCGACCCGUGGAAUCCUAGUCUCCAGGGAUGGGACUGGGGACUUGAAAGCUCCCUGGGUGAUUACACAGCCAAGGUGGAGAACAUAACUAUCUCCUGCUGUUGUGACGAUUAAAGGAGAUGGUGCAUGCAGAGUACUUGGCACAUAUGAAGUGCUCAAUAAAGAGUAACUCCUGCAGCCUGGUGUG